rnacentral:rRNA from 1 species
GACGAACGCUGGCGGCGUGCCUAACACAUGCAAGUCGAGGGUUUUAGUAGUAAUACGAAGAACACUGGCGCACGGGUGAGUAACGCGUAGAUCAUCUGCCCCUAACACUGACAUAACAGUUCUAACGGACUGCUAAUAUCAGAUGUGAUAAGCAAUUAUUAAAGGGUAACCGGUUAGGGAUGAGUCUGCGUCUGAUUAGGUAGUUGGUGAGGUAACGGCUCACCAAGCCUACGAUCAGUAACUGGUCUGAGAGGACGAACAGUCACACUGGAACUGAGACACGGUCCAGACUCCUACGGGAGGCAGCAGUGGGGAAUAUUGCACAAUGGACGAAAGUCUGAUGCAGCAACGCCGCGUGGAGGAUGACACAUUUCGGUGCGUAAACUCCUUUUAUAUGGGAAGAUAAUGACGGUACCAUAUGAAUAAGCACCGGCUAACUCCGUGCCAGCAGCCGCGGUAAAGUACAGUGU